CUGUGGGUCCAGCUGCCCCGGGAGACUGGCAGCAGCGGGCUCAAGCCAAGGUCAGCCAUGAGGAGUUGCAGACUGUCCGGGCCUGCCUGUUGCGGUCUCCCCCCACCCCCGCCCCCGCAACAUCCCGAGCUGCCAGUGGCGGGAAGCCUAGGCUUACCUUUGCAGGAAAGCGGGGUAGCAGGAGAGAGCGGGGCGCUUCCGGACAGAUCCGCACAAGCAGGAGGUGCACCAUGGUGACUGCAGAGAGCCCUCCUUCGUGUAGCUGGCCCUACCUUUAUAAGGCAAAGCACAGACCAACCCCUCCAUCGGAUCCCUCUGCCUUAAAGGAGUUGCGAUGGAGGAACUGCCACUGCUCACUCCCUUGAUGUCCUCGCGUCACGGCCGCACGUAGAGAAGGAGGCGGCUGGAUUGGCAGAAUCCCUGGCGGUUUCAGGCGGAAGGAGAAACGGCGGCAGGCACUGCCAUCUCUUCCAGCAGUUUAGCCUUAGGACCUGGUGCCAAGGUUUGUGCUUUUUACACCUUGACGUGAAAUGUGAACAAGAGUUCCAGUCUUUGUUCCAGAGACAGAAACCCAGAGAAGAUCAACAAGGAGAAUGGCAGUGUCUCCUGUAAAUGAGCAGCAGGUCAGUGUUGUGUCCAUAUUUCCUUGAAAAUUAUUUUGAGAUUGAAAUCAUGAAGGCUUUAGUACUCUGCCUUGGACAAUGUCAUCAGAUGUGUUUAUUUCCUAUGACUUUUUUUUUUUUCUUCUCUGAUUAUCAAAAUUGUCUUUAAAUCAUGUCACCUACAUGGCACAGCCUUGUCCUACUUUAUAUUCUCUCCAUUAUUAUUGUGAGGAGAAAUAGUUUUCAUGGACUUCAGACCUGCAAUUGUGAAAGAGAUUCCACUGUGAAUUAAUGAAUUCCCCCCAGGUGCCUGCCUUGAGGAGAUUUCUACCAGGGUACAGAACAGAAGCUAAGGAUUCUAAUCUGAGAGACAUAAAGUAAAUGUUCUCUUGACAUUCAGGGAUCUGGAUGUAGACUUAUCCCAGGAGGAGUGGGAAUGUCUGGAUUCUGCUUGGAGGGCUUUGUACAUGGAUGUGAUGUUGGAGAAUUACAGAAAUCUAGUCUUUGUGGGUAAGAAUGCUCUUGUAGAAUUCUUAACUCUUUCUUUGUAUUUACCUACUAUUUACAUGUGAUUUUAACUAAAGUCCCUGGACAUCCUAGUGACUACCAGAAAUGCAGGAAAUUCUGGUAAUAAACAUAACGUUUACAGUGUUUCUUUGACAUUCUUCUGUGUUCUCUGAAAGAGCAACUAAUGCUAUAUCAUGUGUGGUCU